GAAUGGGCAUCCCACCCCAGCACUUUCUAGGAAGAAGGGCAGCAUUUUGAAGGGCUGGAAGUAGAGGAAGGAGGUUGCGGGUAGAAGACUCCAUACUUUCUGUGACGCCUAUUCCUUAGGAAUCAAGGCUAUCUGUAAUCACAGGGCUAUUUGAAAAAGAGAAGAAAAGGUGUCUUGAAAUUCAACCAACAUGUUUCAAUUAUUUGCUCCUAAGAACAACAGAAGUUUCAACAUUCUGCCAACAGAGUAACUCCUGGAAGAUUGGCACAGAAGAAGGCACAAGGAGAGCCUUUAUAUAACCAAAGAUAUUUUUGGACCAUGAAUUCAGAAAUUCUCGGAGCCACCCAUCAGUGCCUGAGCUUCAGUGAGUCCAUAUCCCAUGUCACCCACGGCAAAGGAGACUCUAAGACUUCUGAAGAGUUUCUUGCUUCUUUCCUGUGGGGCAGUGACUCCACUUCCCAGCAGUAAUGGAAUAUCCUGAAUUAGCUACAUUAAUGUUAGAACCAUUUGGACCUCACCCAGGACUUCAACUACAUUAUGGUUCUAGUAUGUUACGUUUAUGUUCCCCUGCUUUCUACAAUCCUGUUCAAAGAGUUGCUGACUUAACCACAGAGAGGAUUCCAGAACCUGAGACACAGAAUAAACUUGAGCAAUCAUAGUCCAUCCACUUCAUUGUCUCAUCAAAAACCAAAGGUCCAGUGAAGCUCUGGAACUCAACGCUGUAAAGGAGCGAAGGAGCUUCUAUACAGA
rnacentral:lncRNA from 1 species